rnacentral:rRNA from 1 species
AGCGAACGCUGGCGGCAGGCCUAACACAUGCAAGUCGAACGGAUCCUUCGGGAUUAGUGGCGGACGGGUGAGUAACACGUGGGAACGUGCCCUUUGGUUCGGAACAACUCAGGGAAACUUGAGCUAAUACCGGAUGUGCCCUUCGGGGGAAAGAUUUAUCGCCAUUGGAGCGGCCCGCGUCUGAUUAGCUAGUUGGUGAGGUAACGGCCCACCAAGGCGACGAUCAGUAGCUGGUCUGAGAGGAUGAUCAGCCACACUGGGACUGAGAUACGGCCCAGACUCCUACGGGAGGCAGCAGUGGGGAAUCUUGCGCAAUGGGCGAAAGCCUGACGCAGCCAUGCCGCGUGAAUGAUGAAGGUCUUAGGAUUGUAAAAUUCUUUCAGCGGGGACGAUAAUGACGGUACCCGCAGAAGAAGCUCCGGCUAACUUCGUG